ACGAAUGAAGCCAACCCGAGAAUCUAUUGAAAAAGUAUAGUACCGAAGAAGCAAAAUUAGAGGGAAGUCUACCUCUAAUAGAAACUGACAGGUAGGAGUAAGGUUGGUGGACGAAACUUUGGAGAGAAUGUAAUUAAUACAUCACCAACGAGGAUACAACCAACAGGUAGAAGGACAGAGGA
rnacentral:ncRNA from 1 species